ensembl:lncRNA
GGUUAUAGGAUGUGGAGGAGUGUGUUUGAAAGGGGCCCAUGAAUCCCCCCUUCCCCAAGGUAGAAAAAUUUUUUUUUUUUUUUUUUUUUUUUUUUUUUUUUACUGGGGAGCUGGGGGUGACUCAGAGGACACAAUGCCUUGUAAAACACAUGCACUUAAUAUUAGAGCUAUAAAACUUGUAAAAUUAAAAACAGUUUUGGAAAAUAGAAAUGGAAAUAUUUAUGCAUCUGACUCAUAAUAGAGUUCAUUUUAUUCCUGCACCAGAGGGCUGAACAGGUAACUGUCAGCAAGCCAGGUACCCUGUGGAAGUCUGUCUUGUGUGGCAAGGUUCUUUUAGCAUGACUGUAUAAUUUAUCACCCUAAAGAAAGUCACAGAGGGACACAAAAACAAAACAUAAUUAAGACUUUGUUAAGGAUCACAGAGAAAACCAUUCCCAGCACCUAUAUAUGCCCUUCAGCUCUUAGAAAAACACAACACCUAUUCUUAGUAACUGAAAAGCUGCAAAAAAUAAUUAUGCUACUAAAAAUAAACAGACCCCUGGUUUAGCUGGGACAAGCAUCAUAAAUUGAAUAUUUGGCUCUGUUUACACAGUGCUGGCCCAGCCACAUGCCAGAAUGUCUUCUACAGCCACACACCAGAAUCAUAUAAACAUGUUCAUGAUUCAGCUACCUCAAUCAAACAUUAAAUGAGCUUUUAUCAUAAUAUUGUCAUUAACAUGAGUUGAAACGUAGUUGUUUGGGACCAGAAUAUUUUUGAAUGAUGAAUAAUUUGCGUUGAUGAAAAAAAAUCUUUGUGUCUGAAUGUUUUUAUGUUUACAUGGUUAACAUGAUUACAUAGUUAACAGAUAUGUCAGUAAAUCCACUUCAUUCCUGUGCAAACAUACAUACAUGUUUUAGCAAGUCUUUUUUUCUUUGUGUUAGUCACAAUUUUUAACAUUUUAAAUGUAGAUGCUAUUACCUGUUUUAUUGGAUAAACGUGUCACACCCUUCUGCCACAUGUUUUGGAAUUUCACAUGUAAUUUGCUUUAAUCUAAACCAGUUAUAGCCUACGUGAAAGAACUCCAUAAACUCAGAAUAUUUGUCAUGCAUUUGAUCUUAGGCUAGAAAGGUGCUUUAAAACCCACAAAGGUUUUGGUAUACAUGUGUGCCUGCUCCAAAUCGAAGGGAAAAAAUCCACUAAUACAAAUAAUAAAAUUUCAGACCUGUACACACAUGCGAACAUAUAUGCACACACCAAGACACAUGCACAGACAUGCAUUUACCCAAAAUACCCAGCCAAAAUGCACUUAAAAUUUAUGACUUGAGCAUUCCUUUAGGGUCAAGCUAUUUAUCAAAUCCUCCACAUUCUGGUUUCAAUUACCCAGUCUAUUGUGGAAAGCAGCUAUUUUAGCAGGUUCAUUUGGCUCGGUAGGGGAUGAGAAGGCUUUCGGUCUCUGACAGCAGCUUGUUGUUAGGUUGGUAGUGGAGUUGGGUGAGUGUAAUGGACAGUGGCCUCCCUCUAUCUGAAAAGGAACAUUUUAUCAGAGCAGGGUCUAGAGAGGCAAUAAAUCCCAGUUUUAUUGCUGAAGAAUUCCACUCUCUCCACAGGCCUGACAGCUCCCUGCGUUCUCCGAGCCUCUUGGACAAUUUCGACACCGUGUCCAUCUGGUGCUGAUUAAGAUCCUGACUGGUGAGAUAGAGAGCGAGAGCGAGAGCGAGAGAGAGAGAGAGAGAGAGAGAGAGAGAGAGAGAGAGAGAGAGAAGCCCAAGGUGCAGGUCAGAAGCAAAAAAAAGACAGCAGGGUGAGAGGGAAGGACAGCAGGUUUAUGAAAGACAGAAAAGAAAUUAAUAAGAAACGAGAGCAGAAAAUUAGAAGGCAAAGAAAAGAAAUGCUCAUUAAGCUGAUGUGGAAUUUUGAGACCGAUGACCUAACCACAGCCAAAAGACAUUAGUUGGAAGAUGCCUUUUUUGUGAUGAGUGAAAAGCCAUUCACAGAAGCCUCUGCUGGAGCUCCAUCAGGACCAGGGAGCAGAGUAGAAAAUGGGGAGCACCAUGAAUGCAGCCGCAUGAUUGGGUUGCAGGACUUCACAACAGAAGUCCAUUUAGUAGAACAUCCACACUACCAUUCAGAAAGUGAGGUGUACCAUGGCAUUCAACUGGAUCCCUGAACAACUUUCUCUGUUAGCGGGUGUAUUGUAGGGGAUCAUUGAGCCACUUUGUGAACUUCAUAUUUG